UUGGAGGAGCAGGGAGCAAGGGAGGGUUGGUCCCAGAAGAGGCAGGGAGGAGGGGGAGGUUAGCAUGAAGCUGGGGGGCUGUGCAGCCAGAGUAGCCCUAACAACUCCCCUCCCCCUCAUGCCAGGCCACCUGUAUAGCCACCCUUCAGGCACUGGCACUGCCUUGCAACAUAAGCCCUACUGGGUCUCCCUCUUUGGGACAAGUUUGCUGGCCCUUUGUGGGAGACCCUAGCCCCCUCUCCUGAGGGAGGGCUUGCCUCUGUCUGUUUCAGGUAACAUACAGGACAAAAGAAAGUUCUGGGAACUGAAACAUCACCCAAAGUACAAGACAUGUCAGCUGGCGGAGCAUUGAGUCCAGAUCUCAACAAGAUGGCGCCUAGAUACUACGGUGAUCAGCAUUCUAAAAAUAUCUGAGCGACAGAGGGGUAGACGGAUGCUUAAAUAAUAAAUAACCCCUCCUAAGCCCCAUUUUUUUCCAGCAGACAUACAGCCUCAGAAGCAGCUGUCAAAUGGCUGUUAACAAUAGGCUUGAGAAAGCCACUCUGGAAAAAAGAGGAACUCUCCAGACCGUCUUCCCUCUCUUUAAACCAACCUACUUUGAGAGCAAGAGAUACUAAGCCUUGAAGGUCCACUUCUCCCUCCACCUUACUCCCCCAUCAUCCCAAGUGCCUGGGAAAAGACCCUACCCCAACAAAAUUCAUAAAGCUGCCACCUUAUCCUCCUUUAAAUCCCUCAUCAGCACUUACCUCUGCUAUAGUGCCUGCAAAUCACUCCUGCUUGGCAUUGGUUAGCUGAUGCAUUCUCUCCUCAUCCUGUACUUGCGGGGACAUGGACGCAACGUUCUAGCUAACCAGUCGUUUCUCUAUCCUACUGCUACACAGAAAUACUAUGAGAUUCAGUCACUGGAUGAUUUUCAGUUCCUGGAUGAUAGAAACUAAAACUCAUGUUACUUCAGCCCCAUGGAUAGUAUCUCAAGCAACUGCCCCUCCCCCCUCCGCCUCCUCCCAAAAAGCCAUACACAAACAAUAUUCCCCACAUCCCCCAAAACAUUAUCCAGUACUGAGAUGUUUGGAGAUUUACCUGGCUACCCAGACCAUGUAUUUGGGUUUAUGCUAGAGCCCCCACAGAACCACAAUACCUGACCUUAGUAGUAUAAACCAUUGAUUAUUUUGUCCAUGUCUGGUAUUUACAGGACAUUUUCCCCAUAUUUUCAGAUAGCUUCCUCCCCCUCUCUCCACAGACACACUUUAAUAAGUUUUCUUCCAUUUAGUGAGUGCUUUGAAUAGCACAUGCUUCAAGUUACUGAAACAAGUUCAACAGCCAUCACUAAAACAAAAGCACUCUCCAAUUUGCCACCUUGUUUGUUUGAAAGUAGCAACCCUGUUCCAGUAUUCGUCACUCUGAUCCAGAAGUAGAUACAGAAAGGUACAUGGAGACCACAUGGUAGUAAAAAUCCAUCAAUCCAUUCCUGCUGCAGCUGCCUCAUGCAUUAUGAUGUGAUGUGUCAUUCAGAACCAUUGUUUUCAACAGGAAGCAAGUUUGACCACCUUUGUAAUUUAGAUGCUGGGUAGUACAAAGGGGUGUGGUGUGCAAAGCAAACAGCACUAAACUAACAGCUCUUUCUAAUGAGCAGCCUUUUCACGCAGAACGGUCUAACAGACUGAGUCAGGAGACCCUGAGUCUAUUCCCAUUUUGGCCAUUGAUUCACUUUGUUACCUUAGCCAAGUUCGUUAACGCUUUGUGCUUCAGCUUUCCAACUGUUGAGUAAGGAGAAUAAAGCUGCUCAGCCACUUUU